rnacentral:lncRNA from 1 species
CUUCUGUUGAUAAAAAUAAAGAAAAUAAAUGCCAUGCAAAAACAAAGAUGAAAUAUAUGAGUUAUUUUCUGUCUAAGUUUGUAGCAUCUUCAAAUGGCCACAUGAUAAAACAAUCAUUUACUAGCUUUGAGUAUGUGGGCUCAGUUUCAAGUUUUAUAUAUCCCGCUUUUCAGGCAAUCUCCAUGUCCAACAAGCUCUUGAACCCAUCCUUCAAUCUUCCAGUUGAUUCAUCAUGGAUAUUGCCCAGGCUCUGAAAGUGGCAUAUUCCAUGUGAUUUAGCAGGUUAUGUAGCUAAAAAAGUUACUAGAAAAAUAAGCAUUUAUUUUUUUAACACCACUUUCCAAUCAUUGACUAAUUACUACAUAAUAAAGACAGGGAACAAAAUUUAUUAAUCAGUAGAUAUACUCAUGGU